UACGUAGGUGUCAAGCGUUGUCCGGAUUUAUUGGGCGUAAAGCGCCCGCAGGCGGCUUGCCAAGUUCGAUGUGAAAUCUCCCGGCUCAACUGGGAGGGUGCAUCGAAAACUGGCAGGCUUGAAUAUGGAAGAGGGUCGCGGAAUUCCCGGUGUAGAGGUGAAAUUCGUAGAUAUCGGGAGGAACACCAGUGGCGAAGGCGGCGACCUGGGCCAAUAUUGACGCUGAGGUGCGAAAGCGUGGGGAGCAAACAGG
rnacentral:rRNA from 1 species